GAUGCAUUCCAGGUGUGGCAGAGGGUCAGGGUUAGGAGGUGCCGGGCCACCUUAGGAGCGCGCUGUCUGAGAGACACCAGCCCGGUGCCAGCAGGACCUUCCCAGGUGACGAGAUUGAGAUGGAUUAAAUCUGUGCCAGAGGGCCCCGUCCUGGGUGAGGGGAUUGCCCCUGAGCAGGAAGUCAAUCUGGAUGCCAGCAGCCAAGGUGAGCAGCGGAGAGAAGUGGUUGUUAUUGCUCAGCUCUCAAGCACAACCAUUUUUCAGCAGAUUCAUCUCUCUCGCAAGAGAGAUCUGCCCAGUGUCAAGGAU